rnacentral:lncRNA from 1 species
GUGUUGGAGUUUUUUAUGAUCUAUAUGUAAAAUUUAGUAGGUGUCAACACCGUGUAUCAUCGUACAGCGGAUUUAGGUACUAACCAAUCGGACGUGACGAUUUUGAUUACACGUAACGAAAAAUCUUUGUUUUGUUCACAUAAUAUCAAUGUGUACUUCAAUCUAAACAUAAUUGAUGUUUUAAGAAAUGAUUUGGUCGUAGGUUGGUGAUUAGAGAUGUCUCAUUAUUUUCCCAAAACAAGAUGGAUUACAAAAAGCACGUGCAAAUACUUGUAAAAGAAGUUAGCUCUCGUCUCAUCCAGUAAUUCUAUAUUCAUUGCAACUCUCUUUCUGAUAGAGGUAAUGUGUGUGUGU